UACAGCAGUGAAUGGACUAAAACAUUUUAUUUCAAAUUUAUAUCCUGUAUAGCUUUGCAUUACAAAAAGAGCACAGAACGGGAAGUUAGGACAUCCUGCUUUGAGGUCUAGCACAGCCAUCAACUAUGUGAUCUUGGGUGAGUCACUUCACCUCUCUGAACCUGUUUCCUCAAGAAAAAUAAGGAGAGUAGGCUGUCUGCAUGAUCUCAAGACAACACAAUGUGCUGGAAUGAGUCUUACAGCAAGAGUUCAAAGUUCAAGUUCUAAUUCUAGAACUUGUUGAGUGUAAAAUUCACAGCGAAUCAUAUAACCUCUUGGAACCCCAGUUUCUACAUCUAGAAAAAGGGGCAGAAUAAUAUCAGAAAUGCUUCACUCUCAGGACUGUGAGGAGCAUAAAAUUAAAUAAUGAAAAAAGGUCAACUAUAAAGCACUAAAUAAAGCAGCAGUGACCAGCUUUGGGAACACGGAUCAACUUUCAACCCCAACAAGCAAGCAAGCCAACUCCUAUGAUUGCUGAAGGGAAGACUCUAAAAGAGAGAGAAUUCCUGGAGACCAAGAAAUGGAGCUACAGUGAGGUCACACAGCCAAGAUCACAUAGCCAAGAACUGGGAUUUGAGCCUAGAAUACUCUGAUCUCAGAGUCUGGAUGCUAGUUUCUUGCUGCCUUCCCUGUGUUAUGAGGUCAUGUCUAAAUCACCUCCAUUAUUGAAAAUUACUUAUGAAAGGCCUAUUCUGCUGGAUAGAGCAAUCACCUUAGUCAAGUAUGAUCCAAAUGUUGCCACUAAAUCCUACCCAACCCUAUCAAAGGUCAGACCCUGGAGGUGUGGUAACUCCCUCCAGUUCGAUUAAAAAAAAACCAAAAACACAAAAAACCAGUAGGUCAGAGUAAGGAGCUACUCUGAGCCAGCAGUGGGUGGGUUAAGUUAAAGAACAGAAAGAUGUAACCUGACCCGGGACUUAGCUCUCAUUUUCAGUAGGCAAAAGCUCCUUGCAGGAUGAUCUUGAGUCAGACCUGCAAUUCCUUUUUUCUUUCCUUUUUGGAACGGCAAUAACAAUGUCUGCCCAACAUCUACCGCUUUAAGUUGUUUUUUACAGUAGAACUGACACAGCCUUUUAAGCAGGCUCUGUGUGCAGAGUAACUCUCCCCUUGCACACAGAGCAGAUCAUCAGGUUCCCUGGAGCCCCAGGAUCUUUCUCUAAUCAUAAAAAGGCAGUCUGUACCUCUAAAUCCCAAAUCCUUCCCUACCCUAUCCCUGCUGCACCCAGCUGUGCAAGGUAAGUCUUAGAAGGUCAUGUCCCCAACAAUCCCACAAUUUUCUCAUCAGUAUUCUUUGCUACUUCCAGGUAUUACAGCAUCACUGCUGUUUAAGAUUAGAACUUAAAAACUUGAAAGUGUCAGGAAGGAUGUGGUGCCUUGUCUCCACAUCAAGUAAACAGCCCAUGGCAUUGGCUUCUGACAAGUGACAACAGACUCACAGGGCAGCAGUUGAGGAGCUGUGCUUACAUGAUACUUACUAUCCUGAGACACACUGACAUAUGGGGAUGCCCAUACACAGGUAACCCAACCCCAUGGACUCAGUCCAAUGGUGAACACAAGAGAAUCUCCAGCAUUUGCUCAGCUGUCACCACCUCCGCAGGUGCAAGAAAUGGCCGAUGGUUCCAGAGGAUGACUCCAGCCUCUUAAAUAGAAAAGGGAGUGUGUUAGAUCUCAUCCAGCCAGUUGUAGGGAAAGGUGGCCUUUAAGAAACUGUGGUUAAUGUUGUAAGGAAACAAGGCAGCUUUUGAAGCUAUUUUCAUAGCCUACAGAGAAAUAAAUGACCAGUGCUGAGGGCUGCAGACAGCAGGAUGGGCAGCACGACCAAGCUCUGUAUUCAUUUUAUUCUAACCUGUUGGGGCAGGGGAAUUCAUGGGUCCAAAGACUCA